rnacentral:misc_RNA from 1 species
GUACACACCGCCCGUCACGUCAUGAAAGUCGGUAACACCCGAAGCCAGUGUAACCUUUUGGAGGGAGCUGUCUAAGGUGGGAUCGGCGAUUGGGACGAAGUCGUAACAAGGGAGCCGUACCGGAAGGUGCGGCUGGAUCACCUCCUUUCUAAGGAGCACCAUUUCCCAGUCGAAUGAACUUGGGACAUACGGCAAUCUUCUGUMGUGUAUGAUUGUCUGGUGAAUAUGUUUGGUAAAUCCCGUUCACCCCGUGAACGGGUAGCCGGCAAGACGCCAAUACUGCAAGAGAAUUGAACGCUGGCACACUGUUGGGUCCUGAGGCAACACACCCGUGUUGUCGCCCCGCUUGGUGGUGGGGUGUGGUCCUUGAUUUAUGGAUAGUGGUUGCGAGCAUCUAACAUGGUCUGGCUCGUUUUACGAGCGAGGCCGGUUUUUGCAAUUUAUUAGCUAAGUUCUUAAGGGCGCAUGGUGGAUGCCUUGGCAUCGAG